rnacentral:tRNA from 1 species
GGACGCAUAUCUCAGUUGUUAGAGCAGAUGACUCUUAAUCAUCGGGUACUAGGUUCGAGCCCUAGUGCGUCCACCA